UUAGGAAUAUUGCACAAUGGGCGGAAGCCUGAUGCAGCGACGCCGCGUGAGGGAUGACGGCCUUCGGGUUGUAAACCUCUUUCAGCAGGGACGAAGCGUGAGUGACGGUACCUGCAGAAGAAGCGCCGGCCAACUACGUGCCAGCAGCCGCGGUAAGACGUAGGGCGCGAGCGUUGUCCGGAUUUAUUGGGCGUAAAGAGCUCGUAGGCGGCUUGUCGCGUCGUCCGUGAAAACCCGGGGCUCAACUCCGGGCUUGCGGGCGAUACGGGCAGGCUAGAGUUCGGUAGGGGAGACUGGAAUUCCUGGUGUAGCGGUGAAAUGCGCAGAUAUCAGGAGGAACACCGGUGGCGAAGGCGGGUCUCUGGGCCGAUACUGACGCUGAGGAGCGAAAGCGUGGGGAGCGAACA
rnacentral:rRNA from 1 species